rnacentral:rRNA from 1 species
GCACAAGCGGUGGAGCAUGUGGUUAAUUCGACGCAACGCGAAGAACCUUACCUGGGCUUGACAUCCCGAUCGCACCUUAUGGAAACAUAGGGGUCAGUUCGGCUGGAUCGGUGACAGGUGCUGCAUGGCUGUCGUCAGCUCGUGUCGUGAGAUGUUGGGUUAAGUCCCGCAACGAGCGCAACCCUUGUCCUUAGUUGCCAGCAUUCAGUUGGGCACUCUAAGGAGACUGCCGGUGUCAAACCGGAGGAAGGUGGGGAUGACGUCAAGUCCUCAUGGCCCUUAUGUCCAGGGCUACACACGUGCUACAAUGGCCGGUACAAAGGGGCGCAAGACCGCGAGAUGGAGCAAAUCCCAAAAAACCGGUCUCAGUUCGGAUUGGAGUCUGCAACUCGACUCCAUGAAGUUGGAAUCGCUAGUAAUCGUGGAUCAGCACGCCACGGUGAAUACGUUCCCGGGCCUU